UACGUAGGGCGCAAGCGUUUGUCCGGAAUUAUUGGGCGUAAAGAGCUCGUAGGCGGCUUGUCACGUCGAUUGUGAAAGCCCGAGGCUUAACCUCGGGUCUGCAGUCGAUACGGGCUAGCUAGAGUGUGGUAGGGGAGAUCGGAAUUCCUGGUGUAGCGGUGGAAUGCGCAGAUAUCAGGAGGAACACCGGUGGCGAAGGCGGGUCUCUGGGCAGUAACUGACGCUGAGGAGCGAAAGCGUGGGGAGCGAACAGG
rnacentral:rRNA from 1 species